UCCCCGUUACCGGGGCAGUCUAGCUAGAAAAAUUCAACUAACUAAAAGGGUUGCGCUCGUUGAUGGACUUAACCAAACAUCUCACGACACGAGCUGACGACGGCCAUGCAGCACCUGUCACUUGGUUCCCGAAGGCACACUCUGCUUUCGCAGAACUUCCAAGGAAGUCAAGUCUGGGUAAGGUUCUUCGCUUAGCAUCGAAUUAAACAACACGCUCCACCGCUUGUGCGGGUCCCCGUCAAUUCCUUUAUGUUUUAAGCUUGCGCUCGUACUCCACAGGCGGCUUGCUUAACGCGUUAGCUUCGCUACUACCAGGGUCGAUACUGAUAACAGCUAGCAAGCAUAGUUUACGGCGUGGACUAC
rnacentral:misc_RNA from 1 species